UCUAUUAACGACUAAACAUUUUCAAAUGAAAAAAAAAAAUUAUUUAAAACUUUAAAAGUGACGAUAUUAUUAUUUGGUUGGACUUUAUUUCGACAUUGAUAAUUAAUUUAAUACCUAAUCGACGGUCAUACGACAUUACACUGAUUUAACUCCAAUCACAACCAUUACACGGCAAGGUCGUCUUAUGUCGUCUUACAUUCAGUUACUUAAGCCGUUCUUACCCGAAAACACUGUUCUACCUCAGGUAGCUGAGGACAGUGUAUCGGCCGAAACAACAUUGAAGGACAAUGAAAAUGUUACGCAAAACAAAACUACCGAGGAGCCGAGUAAACGAUAUACGUUUGAUUUUGAACAAUUGGAUUGGAAAAAGAAGCCGAUAAACAGUCCGUUGUCCAAAAACGCUUUUCAGAAAAUCGAAGAAGAACGAUCAAACAUUGAAAAGGACAUGGCUGCGUUGGAGGUUAUCCAUAAAGAAAUAUCAAAGCAAAAAGACUUAAUGUGCUCGUUAUUACGGAUAAAAAACGAAUUAAAAAACAAACAACCCUCUGAGAAUCCUAUUAUAAUUUCAGACUAGAAAUUGUAAUCUUGUAUGAAAUGUAAUCUUGUGUAAUAUACUGUAUAAAAUGUAAUAUAUUUUA